AACGAACGCUGGCGGCAUGCCUAACACAUGCAAGUCGAACGAGACCUUCGGGUCUAGUGGCGCACGGGUGCGUAACGCGUGGGAACCUGCCCUUAGGUUCGGAAUAACUCCCCGAAAGGGGUGCUAAUACCGGAUAAUGUCUUCGGACCAAAGAUUUAUCGCCUUUGGAUGGGCCCGCGUUGGAUUAGCUAGUUGGUAGGGUAAAAGCCUACUAAGGCGACGAUCCAUAGCUGGUCUGAGAGGAUGAUCAGCCACACUGGGACUGAGACACGGCCCAGACUCCUACGGGAGGGAGCAGUGGGGAAUAUAGGACAAUGGGCGAAAGCCUGAUCCAGCAAUGCCGGGUGAGUGAUGAAGGCCUUAGGGUUGUAAAGCUCUUUUACCCGGGAUGAUAAUGACAGUACCGGGAGAAUAAGCGCCGGCUAACUCCGUG
rnacentral:rRNA from 1 species